GGAGAGAUGGCUGAGUGGUCGAAAGCGGCGGUCUUGAAAACCGUUGUGCAGUAAUGUACCGGGGGUUCGAAUCCCUCUCUCUCCG
rnacentral:tRNA from 1 species